rnacentral:rRNA from 1 species
GACGUAGGGCGCGAGCGUUGUCCGGAAUUAUUGGGCGUAAAGAGCUUGUAGGCGGUUUGUCGCGUCUGCUGUGAAAAUCCGGGGCUCAACCCCGGACUUGCAGUGGGUACGGGCAGACUAGAGUGUGGUAGGGGAGACUGGAAUUCCUGGUGUAGCGGUGAAAUGCGCAGAUAUCAGGAGGAACACCGAUGGCGAAGGCAGCUCGCUGGGACGGUACUGACGCUGAGACGCGAAAGCGUGGGGAGCAAACAGG